GAUGAACGCUGGCGGCGUGCCUAACACAUGCAAGUCGAACGAGGCACCUUUUAAGAUUCUUCGGAUGAUUGAUUGGUGACUGAGUGGCGGACGGGUGAGUAACGCGUGGGUAACCUGCCCUGUACAGGGGGAUAACAGUUGGAAACGGCUGCUAAUACCGCAUAAGCGCACGAGAGGACAUCCUCUUGUGUGAAAAACUCCGGUGGUACAGGAUGGGCCCGCGUCUGAUUAGCUGGUUGGCAGGGCAACGGCCUACCAAGGCGACGAUCAGUAGCCGGUCUGAGAGGAUGAACGGCCACAUUGGAACUGAGACACGGUCCAAACUCCUACGGGAGGCAGCAGUGGGGAAUAUUGCACAAUGGGGGAAACCCUGAUGCAGCAACGCCGCGUGAGUGAAGAAGUAUUUCGGUAUGUAAAGCUCUAUCAGCAGGGAAGAUAAUGACGGUACCUGACUAAGAAGCUCCGGCUAAAUACGUGCCAGCCGCCGCCGCAG
rnacentral:rRNA from 1 species